CUCUUCUCCACAGCGCAACGUGAAGCAGGACAUUAUAUGCGGAGCCAGGUCUGGUGUGCCGCCCUCCUACUUAUGCACCAAGAUGCGGUCGGCACAGGAGCGAAUGACACUGAUGACUUCCUGCUCUGGAAGCUGGGAAUUUCUCCCCUGCCCUGGUCUGCAAAAUAAUAUCCUCCACCCCUCCCCAGAUGUCCAUGCCCUAAUUCUCCUAACCUGUGAAUAUGUUACCUUAUGUGGAAAAAUAGACUUUGCAGAUGUGAUUCGAAUUAAGAACCUUAAAACGGGGAGAUUAUUCUGGAAUAUUUGGGUGGGCUCGUCUCAACAGCUGAGUGGGUAAGAGACGUGACAAAGAAGAGGCCUCUGUUGCUGGCUUUGUGGAUGGAGGAAGGGGACUGAGUCAAGGAAUAUGCAGCCUCCAGGAGCAGGAACAGCCUUCUGCUGACAGCCAGCGAGGGAAUGGGACUUUGUCCUUACCCUUCUGCCAACAUCUGGAAUGAGCGAGGCAAUGGAUUCUCUCCUAGAGCAUCCACAAGGAAUGCAGCCCUGUGUACACCUCGACUUUAGCCCUGUGAGACCCAUUUCCGACCUUCAGAAUGAAUUCUUCCUGAAGCGCAUUCGCUUGCUUUGCUGUGUUGCCUGAGUUAAGAAUUCAUCAUGGACAACUUGAAUCCCUGAAGGCGAGAGGCUUCCUGUGGUUC